AAUAAUAAGCUGGAGAAGGAGUAGGCACAUUAACACUCAACAGCUGAUAAAAAACACUUUUUAAAUUUGAUGUUGUUAGUGGGUUGACUCUCCCUAGAUGGAUUCCAAUAAUAUCAUACCUACAUGCAUUAUACAUGAUAUAAGCAACACACAUUUUCCAACUUGACAACACUCUCUCAGCUUUACACCUACUUAGUUAUGACAGACAAAAUGAUAGUUUGAAUUAGUGUUGUAUCCAGUUGUUAAGGAUCGACUCGAGUGGAUAAA
rnacentral:lncRNA from 1 species